CAUCCAUUCAGUUUCCAGUUUCUAGCCACUACAAAAAGGGCUGCCACAAACAUUCGUGCACAUACAGGUCCCUUUCCCUUCUUUAUAAUCUCUUUGGGAUAUAAUCCCAGUAGUAACACUGCUGGAUCAAAGGGUAUGCACAGUUUGAUAACUUUUUGAGCAUAGUUCCAAACUACUCUCCAAAAUGGUUGGAUUCGUUCACAACUCCACCAACAAUGCAUCAAUGUCCCAGUUUUCCCGCAUCUCCUCCAACAAUCAUCAUUAUUUUUUCCUGUCAUCUUAGCCAAUCUGACAGGUGUGUAGUGGUAUUACUACACUAUACCACUACACUAGUGGUAUAGAGUUGUCUUAAUUUGCAUUUCUCUGAUUAAUAAUGACUUGGAGCAUCUUUUCAUAUGACUAGAAAUAGUUUCAAUUUCUUCAUCUGAGAAUUGUCUGUUCAUAUCCUUUGACCAUUUUCCAAUUGGAGAAUGGCUUGAUUUUUUAUAAAUUAGAGUUAAUUCUCUAUAUAUUUUGGAAAUGAGGCCUUUAUCAGAACCUUUGACUGUAAAAAUAUUUUCCCAGUUUAUUGCUUCCCUUCUAAUCUUGUCUGCAUUAGUUUUGUUUGUACAAAAACUUUUCAGUUUGGUAUAAUCGAAAUUUUCUAUUUUGUGAUCAGUAAUGAUCUCUAGUUCUGCUUUGGUCAUAAAGACCUUCCCCUUCCACAGGUCUGAGAGGGAUCAUAUUCUCAGUAAGGUUCUCUCAGUAUUAAUUUUUUUAAGAUAACAGAUAUUGGAUGCUUAGAUUAAAUAUUUUAAGAUAGAAAAAAUAUACUUAUCAAUUGAAAAUGACUAGCAAAAUGGACAAAAAUUAAAACAUGAAAUUUACAGUAAUGAUCAAAAAGUCUUACAUGAAGAUUUAAUAAAAACAAUACAGGGUGGGAAAGACUUGAUUUGAUAAAAAUUCAUAUGAAAAAGAGUAAAAGAUUUAAUUGACCAUAAAUUUAAUUAAUAGGAAUGAAGAAGAUUCCCAUAAUUAGAAAAGGGAGGGGACAAUGAAAUCUUAUGUUACAGCAAAUGAAUUUUAGGCUACAAAUAAAGAGAUGCAUAUGGUAGGAACCACACAAGAAAUUU
rnacentral:lncRNA from 1 species